UACGUAGGGGGCAAGCGUUGUCCGGAUUUAUUGGGCGUAAAGAGCGUGUAGGCGGCUGGGUAGGUCCGUUGUGAAAACUCGAGGCUCAACCUCGAGACGCCGAUGGAAACCCUCCAGCUAGAGUCCGGAAGAGGAGAGUGGAAUUCCUGGUGUAGCGGUGAAAUGCGCAGAUAUCAGGAAGAACACCCGUGGCUAAGGCGGCUCUCUAGUACGGUACUGACGCUGAGAGACGAAAGCCAGGGGAGCAAACGGG
rnacentral:rRNA from 1 species